AUCCAACUGACGAGUCCUAAAUGGGACGAAACGCGCGUCAAACUGGAU
rnacentral:hammerhead_ribozyme from 1 species